GCAUGGUAGUGGAUCUAUUGGUGGGCUCUCCUCUGUGGCCUCUCAUAGGGCACCCAUGCCAGAGUGAAUUGCAGCCUCGCACCAUUGGGCUGCGUACCUGUGGGCUGUAAGCACUGAAGCAGGUUGUAUGUG